CGGAGGAUCCGAGCGUUAUCGGAUUUAUUGAGUUUAAAGGGUGCGUAGGCGGCCUGUUAAGUCAGGGGUGAAAGACGGUAGCUCAACUAUCGCAGUGCCCUUGAUACUGAUGGGCUUGAAUGUACUAGAGGUAGGCGGAAUGUGACAAGUAGCGGUGAAAUGCAUAGAUAUGUCACAGAACACCAAUUGCGAAGGCAGCUUACUAUGGUAUUAUUGACGCUGAGGCACGAAAGCGUGGGGAUCAAACAGGAUUAGAUACCCUGGUAGUCCACGCCCUAAACGAUGAAUACUCGAUGUUAGCGAUAUACAGUUAGCGUCAAAGCGAAAGCGUUAAGUAUUCCACCUGGGGAGUACGCCCGCAAGGGUG
rnacentral:rRNA from 1 species